UACCAGCACCCCGAGUGGGCGGGACGAUUAUUGGGCCUAAAGCAUCCGUAGCCGGCCUUACAAGUCCUCCGUUAAAUCCAGCUGCUUAACAGAUGGGCUGCGGAGGAUACUAUAAGACUAGGAGGCAGGAGAGGCAAGCGGUACUCAGUGGGUAGGGGUAAAAUCCGUUGAUCCAUUGAAGACCACCAGUGGCGAAAGCGGCAAACUUGACCCUUCCUGACGCUGAGGCGCGAAAGCUAGGGGAGCAAACGGG
rnacentral:rRNA from 1 species